GGCGUAUGGGUGCACGGAGAUAUGGCUGGACGUAUUCUUUACCUCCGCACUAAAUGAACGUAGUCGGUCAAUUUCAUGCAACGGCUGCUUUAUUCUCCGGGGAUGCAACGAGCGAAACGUCUCCAGCGCCCAGCAGACAGGAGGCUUGGUUAACCGCAGAGAUGGUGCAGAACAAGCGAAUCUCUGCAAAUUCGUUUGUGAAGUGGAGUGUAAUGCUGGACAAUGCGCUGUGCCAGGUCAUGGCGGUGAAACUCAGAAGGAAAUUUCCACUGCAAUCUGUAAAGAACAAAUGGACAGAAACUUACUAGCUUCGGCGGAUACUUGCAGGUGAAGAAACUGGACCAUAGCUGCGAUGUUAUCAUCAGACAAAUGAACGUAAUGUUUCUGACACGUGCAGUGAGUUAAUUCUGUAUCUCUGCGGUUCGUUCCACACAUCGUGUAUAUUAAGUGGAUGUGAAGACAAGUGAAAUGCGAAGAACAACAAAAUGAACGUAGAACAGAUAGUGGACCGUGAUUCGCGGGAAGAACUGUGAUGCAUGUUGAAUAAAAUUUUAUGAUAAACAGCCAGCAUCCUUGUGAGAUUGCGCGAGACAGUAGGAUUAUUUUUAAUUUAUUUAUAUCUUCAAUCAAUUUUUAUUUUUUUAAUUAAAACUACGUGUUCUGUAUUCC